UCCACGCUGUAAACGAUGAGUACUAGCUGUUGGGUUCGGUGUAAAGGAUCUAGUGGCGCAGCUAACGCGUUAAGUACUCCGCCUGGGGACUACGGCCGCAAGGCUAAAACUCAAAGGAAUUGACGGGGACCCGCACAAGCGGUGGAGCAUGUGGUUUAAUUCGAUGCAACGCGAAGAACCUUACCUGGUCUUGACAUCCUGAGAACUUUCUAGAGAUAGAUUGGUGCCUUCGGGAACUCAGUGACAGGUGCUGCACGGCAGUCGUCAGCUCGUGUUGUGAAAUGUUGGGUUAAGUCCCG
rnacentral:rRNA from 1 species